rnacentral:tRNA from 1 species
GAGGGUAUAGCUCAGUGGUAGAGCGUGUGUUUAGCAUGCAUGAGGCCCUGGGUUCAAUCCUCAGUACCUUCA